rnacentral:rRNA from 1 species
GAUGAACGCUGGCGGCGUGCUUAACACAUGCAAGUCGAACGAUGAAGCCCAGCUUGCUGGGUGGAUUAGUGGCGAACGGGUGAGUAACACGUGAGUAACCUGCCCUUAACUCUGGGAUAAGCCUGGGAGACUGGGUCUAAUACCGGAUAGGAGCGCCUACCGCAUGGUGGGUGUUGGAAAGAUUUAUCGGUUUUGGAUGGACUCGAGGCCUAUCAGCUUGUUGGUGAGGUAAUGGCUCACCAAGGCGACGACGGGUAGCCGGCCUGAGAGGGUGACCGGCCACACUGGGACUGAGAGACGGCCCAGACUCCUACGGGAGGCAGCAGUGGGGAAUAUUGCACAAUGGGCGAAAGCCUGAUGCAGCGACGCCGCGUGAGGGAUGACGGCCUUCGGGUUGUAAACCUCUUUCAGUAGGGAAGAAGCGAAAGUGACGGUACCUGCAGAAGAAGCACCGGCUAACUACGUG